rnacentral:rRNA from 1 species
ACACGACUACAUUAGAUACCCCGGUAGUCCUAGCCGUAAACGAUACUCGCUAGGUGUCGGCCACGGUGCGACCGUUGUCGGUGCCGUAGGGAAGCCGUGAAGCGAGCCACCUGGGAAGUACGGCCGCAAGGCUGAAACUUAAAGGAAUUGGCGGGGGAGCACAACAACGGGUGGAGCUUGCGGUUUAAUUGGAUUCAACGCCGGAAAUCUUACCGGGACCGACAGCAACAUGAAGGCCAAGCUGAAGACUUUUGCCGGAUUAGCUG